rnacentral:sRNA from 1 species
AAGGGACCUAGCGUAGUUCGGAAUUACUGGGCUUAAAGAGUUCGUAGGUGGUUGAAAAAGUUGGUGGUGAAAUCCCAGAGCUUAACUCUGGAACUGCCAUCAAAACUUUUCAGCUAGAGUAUGAUAGAGGAAAGCAGAAUUUCUAGUGUAGAGGUGAAAUUCGUAGAUAUUAGAAAGAAUACCAAUUGCGAAGGCAGCUCUCUGGAUCAUUACUGACACUGAGGAACGAAAGCAUGGGUAGCGAAGAGGAUUAGAUACCCUCGUAGUCCAUGCCGUAAACGAUGUGUGUUAGACGUUGGAAAUUUAUUUUCAGUGUCGCAGGGAAGCCGAUAAACACACCGCCUGGGGAGUACGACCGCAAGGUUAAAACUCAAAUGAAUUGACGGGGACCCGCACAAGUAGUGGAGCAUGUGGUUUAAUUCGAAGAUACGCGCAGAACCUUACCAACACUUGACAUGUUCGUCGCGACUCUAAGAGACUAGAGUUUUCGGUUCGGCCGGACGAAACACAGGUGCUGCAUGGCUGUCGUCAGCUCGUGUCGUGAGAUGUUGGGUUAAGUCCCGCAACGAGCGCAACCCUCACUUUUAGUUGCCAUCAUUAAGUUGGGCACUCUGAAAGAACUGCCAGUGAUAAGCUGGAGGAAGGUGGGGAUGACGUCAAGUCCUCAUGGCCCUUACGUGUUGGGCUACACACGUGCUACAAUGGCAUCUACAACAGGAAGCAAAACGGCAACGUUAAGCAAAUCCCGAAAAGAUGCCUCAGUUCGGAUUGCACUCUGCAACUCGAGUGCAUGAAGCUGGAAUUACUAGUAAUCGUGGAUCAGCGUGCCACGGUGAAUGCGUUCCCGGGUCUUGUACACACCGCCCGUCACACCAUGGGAGUUGGUUCUACCUUAAGGCAAGGUUUUAAACCCUUGACCACGGUAUAGUCAGCGACUGGGGUGAAGUCGUAACAAGGUAGCCGUAGGGGAACCUGCGGCUGGAUUACCUCCUUUCUAAGGAUGAGUGAAAGUAAAAUUUCACUCUAAAUAAUAUACAUCGGUAAUGUUGACCGUCCUCAUUUCUCUUCUUAAAGUAAUGUUUCCUUCUUGUAGGGCCGGUAGCUCAGUUGGUUAGAGCACACCCUUGAUAAGGGUGGGGUCGAAAGUUCGAGUCUUUCUCGGCCCACCAAAAACCUAAAUGGGGAUUAGCUCAUCUGGGAGAGCGCCUGAUUUGCAUUCAGGAGGUAGCAGGUUCGAUCCCUGUAUCCUCCACCAGGAAACAUUUAGUUAUUAAAACUGUAAAUAAAAAUAAUUUAUAUCAAUAUCUAUAUCCGAACAUUAAAAGUUAUUAUUUAAUGUUCAAAAUAAAAAUUUGAUCACAACAUAGAUAAAUUUUCUGUUAAAAGAAUUUUUUUCUGUGCAUAAAUCAAGCGUUUAAGGGCGUGUAGUGGAUGCCUUGGCACUGAAAGCCGAUGAAGGACGUGAUAUACUGCGAUAAGUUUCGGGGAGCUGUAUGUAAGCUUUGAUCCGAAAAUUU